rnacentral:tRNA from 1 species
AGGGGUAUCGUACAAAGGCAGUACUCCGGUCUCCAAAACCGUUAAUGUGGGUUCGAUUCCUACUACCCCUGCCA